rnacentral:rRNA from 1 species
UAGGGAAUAUUGGACAAUGGUUGCAAGACUGAUCCAGCCAUGCCGCGUGCAGGAAGAAGGCCUUCUGGGUCGUAAACUGCUUUUCCCCGGGGAUAAAAUACUCGUGCGCGAGGAAUUGAAGGUACCGGGGGAAUAAGCCACGGCUAACUACGUGCCAGCAGCCGCGGUAAUACGUAGGUGGCAAGCGUUGUCCGGAUUUAUUGGGUUUAAAGGGUGCGUAGGCGGCCCUGUAAGUCAGUGGUGAAAUACGGCAGCUCAACUGUCGAGGUGCCAUUGAUACUGCGGGGCUUGAGUGUUGACGAGGCAGGCGGAAUUGACGGUGUAGCGGUGAAAUGCUUAGAUAUCGUCAAGAACACCGAUAGCGAAGGCAGCCUGCCAGGCAACAACUGACGCUGAGGCACGAAAGUGCGGGGAUCAAACAGGAUUAGAUACCCGCGUAGUCC